UUGUUACUUUGGCAGAUUAGUGCGUUAAAUUUAGAAUUUAAUUAUGUAUUUUUAUUAUACAGGUAAUAC
rnacentral:tRNA from 1 species